GGAGACAUAGCUCAAUGGUUAAGAACACUGGCCGUUCUUCCAGAGGAUCUUGGUUCAAUUCCCAGUGUCCACA
rnacentral:tRNA from 1 species